rnacentral:rRNA from 1 species
AUUGAACGCUGGCGGCAGGCUUAACACAUGCAAGUCGAGCGAGCGGCGGACGGGUGAGUAAUGUCUGGGAAACUGCCGGAUGGAGGGGGAUAACUACUGGAAACGGUAGAUAAUACCACAUACCAUCAUAUGUGCCCAGAUGGGAUUAGCUAGUAGGUGGGGUAAGGGCUCACCUAGGCGACGAUCCCUAGCUGGUCUGAGGGGAUGACCAGCCACCCUGGAACUGAAGAACGGUCCAGACUCCGACGGUAGGCAGGAGUGGGGAAGAGUGCACAAUGGGGGCAAUCCUGAUGCAGCCAUGCCGCGUGUGUGAAGAGGGCCUUCGGGUUGUAAAGUACUUUCAGCGAGGAGGCGUUACUCGCAGAAGAAGCACCUGCUAACUCCGUGCCAGCAGCCGCGGUAAUAC